rnacentral:rRNA from 1 species
UACGUAGGGCGCAAGCGUUAUCCGGAAUUAUUGGGCGUAAAGAGCUCGUAGGCGGCUUGUUGCGUCGACCGUGAAAACCCGCGGCUUAACUGCGGGCUUGCGGUCGAUACGGGCGGGCUGGAGUUCGGUAGGGGAGACUGGAAUUCCUGGUGUAGCGGUGAAAUGCGCAGAUAUCAGGAGGAACACCGGUGGCGAAGGCGGGUCUCUGGGCCGAUACUGACGCUGAGGAGCGAAAGCGUGGGGAGCGAACAGG